rnacentral:rRNA from 1 species
UCAGUAACGGCGAGUGAAGCGGCAACAGCUCAAAUUUGAAAUCUGGCCCUCUCAGGGCCCGAGUUGUAAUUUGGAGAAGAUGCUUCGGGUGCGGCCCCGGUCUAAGUUCCUUGGAACAGGACGUCACAGAGGGUGAGAAUCCCGUACGUGCCCGGUGGCCGCCCCCGUGUGAAGCUCUUUCGACGAGUCGAGUUGUUUGGGAAUGCAGCUCAAAAUGGGUGGUAAAUUUCAUCUAAAGCUAAAUAUUGGCCAGAGACCGAUAGCGCACAAGUAGAGUGAUCGAAAGAUGAAAAGCACUUUGGAAAGAGAGUUAAACAGUACGUGAAAUUGUUGAAAGGGAAGCGCUUGCAACCAGACUUGCGCGCGGCCGAUCAUCCGGUGCUCGCACCGGUGCACUCGACCGCGCGCAGGCCAGCAUCGGUUUGGGUGGCUGGAGAAAGGCCGCGGGAAUGUGGCUCCCCCCGGGGAGUGUUAUAGCCCGCGGCGCAAUGCAGCCCACCCGGACCGAGGACCGCGCUCCGGCUAGGAUGCUGGCGUAAUGGUUGUAAGCGGCCCGUCUUGAAACACGGACCAAGGAGUCUAACAUCUAUGCGAGUGUUUGGGUGUCAAACCCAUACGCGGAAUGAAAGUGAACGGAGGUGAGAACCCUGAAGGGUGCAUCAUCGACCGAUCCUGAUGUCUUCGGAUGGAUUUGAGUAAGAGCAUAGCUGUUGGGACCCGAAAGAUGGUGAACUAUGCCUGAAUAGGGUGAAGCCAGAGGAAACUCUGGUGGAGGCUCGCAGCGGUUCUGACGUGCAAAUCGAUCGUCAAAUUUGGGCAUAGGGGCGAAAGACUAAUCGAACCAUCUAGUA